AUGAACCGUCAGACGGACAAGGUGUUCAGUUGGCUGAAUCGGAAGAUGCAUUCCAAUGCGGAGUACUGCACCAUUGAUGAUAAUAAGGCCAUGGAGAAGGAAGACUCUGUGCGCGCGCGCGCGAGUGUGGCUGAGCAAGACACUGAAGCCCUGCUGCUCCGUGAUGUGCUUCUUAAUGGCAUACUUGCGAUUGGCACGCUUGGCCACAACAUGAACUCCCCUGAGGCCCGCCAUGAACAAGAUGAGUUCAUCGUCAUGGAUGAAGAAAAGGUGGACCAAGAGAAGUACGAAGAGGAAAAGUGUGAGGACAAAGAAGAGGCAUUCGCUACAGCACCAAGUGCACCAGAACCUGCUAUUGAACCUGCCAGGAUGCAUUCAUCGUCGAUGAAAGAAUACAACUUCACGUGUUCUGUAAAGGAAGAAAUCCUGAUGUGUGAAGUUGAAGUGGAGGAUAUCUCUAAAAUCCAGGAACAACCACUUCUGAUGGCAGAGAAGGUUGAGAAAGUGAGAACUACACUUGCUGAUCUAUUUGCAGCCGAAACAUUCUCACCAAGUGAUACAGGGGAGAAGAGUCACCAGAAGACUGUUAUUAUUGCUGGGGCAUCCACUUCAAAACCUACAUUGUGCAUGGAAAAGACACAUAAAAAGAAGCCAAUAAAGCCAAUGCCAGAUCCUCUGAAGGCUACGAGAAAAUUAAGUCGAGUCGUGAAGAAGAUGCUGGGGAAGAAGAUCCACCCAGAGCAGCUCAAUGGACGUAGUAAUGCAGAGGAACCUCCGCUGCUUGGUGCCUAG
rnacentral:rRNA from 1 species